rnacentral:rRNA from 1 species
UACGAAGGGUGCAAGCGUUACUCGGAAUUACUGGGCGUAAAGCGUGCGCAGGCGGUUUUGUAAGUUUGUCGUGAAAUCCCCGGGCUCAACCUGGGAACUGCGUUUGUGACUGUAUGACUAGAGUACGGUAGAGAGGGGUGGAAUUCCUGGUGUAGCAGUGAAAUGCGUAGAUAUCAGGAGGAACAUCGAUGGCGAAGGCAGCCCCUUGGACCUGUACUGACGCUCAUGCACGAAAGCGUGGGGAGCAAACAGG